GAUUUGGCAACUUAAAUAUGGCAUCUUUUACAUACUAGUAUCGGCCAAAAUUGGAAGUUUCUGAAAUAUGGGUAUAGGUUUGAAUUUGUUAAAAAUUUUAAAAUUUAAUCCUAAAUUGACAAUAGCAUAGCUAAUAAUGAUAGCUGAGGUGAAUAUUAGUUCACUGAUACCCCUUCCUUGUAAGUUUUUUAUUCCGGAUUUAAAAUUUUGCCAGAACUUUAAUAGGGGGUAUCAGAAUCAGGCCCGAAAAGUGAAUGCUGUGCUUCUAGUAUUUGAAGAAGAUUUUUUUUUUUUGAAAAAAAAUGUGUCGUUUAAUUUUUUCAUAAAACUAAGCAUUUGGAGUGCUAUACUAGUCGGUUGUUCUUGCAAAAUUAUUUUAAAAUUUAACCGUUAGAUUUUUUGGUAUUUAAGUUUAAAUUACGCCCCACCCUCAAAUUGGUUCAUUAAAUAAGAGCAAAA
rnacentral:lncRNA from 1 species